ensembl:lncRNA
AGAUAAUGAUGCAAUCAAACUCUGUAAUGGGUUGAAUUGUGCUGCUUCUUCCCAAAAAUGCAUUGGAGUCUUAACUGCUAGUAUGUCGGAAUUUGACCUCAUUUGGAGAUCUUUAGCUAACCAGAUUACAGGAGCGCAGUAGGGUGGGCGUAACCCAGUGGCUGGCAGCCUUACUGGACAGGGAAUCUGGACAGAGACAAGCACACAGGCAGGGAAGACCACAUGGAGACACAGCGCAAAAGCGGCCGUCUGCAAGGCCAGCAGAGGCCUUGGGAGAAUCCAACCCUGGCAGCACCUUGACUCGAACCUCUGGCCUCCAGAACUGUGAGUACUGGGAAUGGAACCCAGCACUCAUGCAUGCUAGGUUGUGACGCAGCAAAGGGGUCCCUGGCAACCAGCGGUGCCAUGCUCUUUGGACUUCCCAACCUUCAGAAUCGAGUCCAAUAAACUUCUUUUCCUAAUACUCCAUCCAG